GGUUUUACCCUCACAUAUCCAGUUCAAAUGUAUAUAAUGUUAUUGGUUUUGUUAUAUUGUAAUUAAGUUUCGAUCAGGGUGCGCUAAUUCCAGUGUCCUUUCCAACCAAAAGCUCGAUGUAAGAAACAAUGAUUUACCAAGUGUGUUACUAGCUAAUUUUUCUUUUGAAGUGAUAAUUAAUAGAUGCUUAUAAGAUGCCAACUGAGAACGUUCACGUUUCUCAGCUUCAUUU